GUAGGAGGCAAGCGUUAUCCGGAUUUACUGGGCGUAAAGCGCCAGCAGGCGGUGUCCUAAGUUGGACGUGAAAUCUUCUGGCUCAACUGGAAGGGGCCGUUCAAUACUGGGACACUUGAGGGCAGGAGAGGGAAGUGGAAUUCCCGGUGUAGUGGUGGAAUGCGCAGAUAUCGGGAGGAACACCAGUGGCGAAGGCGGCUUCCUGGCCUGUUUCUGACGCUCAGUGGCGAAAGCUAGGGUAGCAAACGGGGAUUAGAUACCCCGGUAGUCCUAGCUGUAAACGAUGGAUACUAGGUGUUGGCGGUAUUGACCCCGCAGUGCCCGAAGCUAACGCGUUAAGUAUCCCGCCUGGGGACUACGGCCGCAAGGCUA
rnacentral:rRNA from 1 species